UACGUAGGGUGCAAGCGUUGUCCGGAAUUAUUGGGCGUAAAGAGCGUGUAGGCGGCCCGAUUAGUCCGCUGUGAAAGUCCAGGGCUCAACCCUGGAAUGCCGGUGGAUACUGUCGGGCUAGAGUCCGGAAGGGGCGAGUGGAAUUCCUGGUGUAGCGGUGAAAUGCGGAGAUAUCGAGAGGAACACCAGUGGCGAAGGCGAGUCUCUGGACGACUCCUGACACUGAGGCACGAAAGCUAGGGGAGCAAACAGG
rnacentral:rRNA from 1 species